CCUCUGCUGCCAGCGGGCCGCGCGCGGGGGACUCCGGUCCUGGCUGCAGCCGAGAUUUCUCACCAGCCAGCGGCCCGGGAAUCUGGAGAGCCCAGCCAGGACUGUAGGAGAUGCACCAAAUGGGAAAGACUUUUGGAGCUGGUGAGCAAGGAAGGGAAGGAGAGGCUGGGGCACCCUUUGUGUCUUCAUGAAUAACAAUGAUCAUCAACAGAGCUCAAGAGAAAAUAAUGAGGAAUAAAAAUGUAGCUAAU